rnacentral:rRNA from 1 species
AUUGAACGCUGGCGGCAUGCCUUACACAUGCAAGUCGAACGGCAGCGCGGGGCAACCUGGCGGCGAGUGGCGAACGGGUGAGUAAUAUAUCGGAACGUGCCCUGGAGUGGGGAUAACGUAGCGAAAGUUACGCUAAUACCGCAUACGAUCUGAGGAUGAAAGCAGGGGACCUUCGGGCCUUGUGCUCCUGGAGCGGCCGAUAUCUGAUUAGCUAGUUGGUGGGGUAAAAGCCUACCAAGGCGACGAUCAGUAGCUGGUCUGAGAGGACGACCAGCCACACUGGAACUGAGACACGGUCCAGACUCCUACGGGAGGCAGCAGUGGGGAAUUUUGGACAAUGGGGGCAACCCUGAUCCAGCAAUGCCGCGUGUGUGAAGAAGGCC